rnacentral:rRNA from 1 species
GACGAACGCUGGCGGCGUGCUUAACACAUGCAAGUCGAACGCUGAAGCUCAGCUUUUGUUGGGUGGAUGAGUGGCGAACGGGUGAGUAACACGUGAGUAACCUGCCUCCUUCUUUGGGAUAACGCCCGGAAACGGGUGCUAGUACUGGAUAUUCACUGGUCUUCGCAUGGGGGUUGGUGGAAAGGGUUUUUCUGGUGGGGGAUGGGCUCGCGGCCUAUCAGCUUGUUGGUGGGGUGAUGGCCUACCAAGGCUUUGACGGGUAGCCGGCCUGAGAGGGUGACCGGUCACAUUGGGACUGAGAUACGGCCCAGACUCCUACGGGAGGCAGCAGUGGGGAAUAUUGCACAAUGGGCGCAAGCCUGAUGCAGCGACGCCGCGUGAGGGAUGGAGGCCUUCGGGUUGUGAACCUCUUUCGCUCAUGGUCAAGCCGCAACAAUGGUUGUGGUGAGGGUAGUGGGUAAAGAAGCGCCGGCUAACUACGUG